rnacentral:lncRNA from 1 species
UUAACAUGAUUUAAGCUUAAUUUGGAUCUUAUGGUGUUGGUCAUAAGUGCUUAAGUACAUACAGAAGAUAUGAUUUUUUGUAUUUUAUUCUUGUUAAAGGGUUAAAGCACCCCAAGUGCUCCAUAUAUUAAUUUAUUUUUCUGAUAAAAAAAAUCCUAUUCCGCAAUGUGAAUGUAAAGGCAGAGAUAGAGCGUUCGAAAUAUGGUGUUACUGUGCAACCAAUUACUGCAGAGAAGGGCCAUAAAAACAUGCACUCUUUAUUCCAACUGAAACCUUAAAAUUAUGAAGGGAGAGUGCUGCAGGGUGGAAAGACACACCUAGGGUCAAUUAAAAGCAAGAAAAAGGUUGGCUAUUCCAGAACAUAAGAACCCAGAGCCCAGUAAGCAAUUAUUUAGAUUCAAUUGAAGAAAAUUAGAGGUAAUUUGCAAAAAAUAAGGCAUGGGAAUGAAUAGAUUGAAGGGGAAUCGGAAGGAAGAGAGCAUGAAUUUAGGCAUACAAAAAGAGUAGUGGGGUGGUGUGAAUGAUCGGUGUAUGAACGCAUUCAAGAGCAGAAACAGAGAUGAAAAUGAAACUUACAUGAAAUGGAAUGAAACAGAUGAGAUGAUGGAUGGAUGCAGACACAGAAGCAGAAGAGAGAAGAGCAGCAAAUUGCUUAAAUUAAAUUGAUAAAAUAUAAAAUUAUUAUUUAUUUUAAUUUUAAUGUUCGUUAUUCCUAUGGCGGUCAAGUUCAAUGAAUUGCAUUCUGUAGAAUAGCAGCUACCAAAUAUGAUGGAGACAUCUCCCUGAAAAUACCGAUAAUGUUACAAAUGUUGCCUAGAAAAAUGAUUAGUUUGGAGACCCGAUAGUAAACCAGCAUUAUGUGAUAUGAUUGUUCUAUAAUCUUGUGCUUUUAAGUGUAUGAUGAGAGGUUCAAUUUUC